rnacentral:rRNA from 1 species
AACGUAGGAGACAAACGUUAUCCGGAGUUACUGGGCGUAAAGGGCGUGUAGGUGGUUUUGUAAGUCUGGCGUGAAAUUUUUCGGCUUAACCGGGAAAGGUCGUCGGAUACUGCAGGACUGGAGGACGGUAGAGGCGUGUGGAAUUCCGGGUGUAGUGGUGAAAUGCGUAGAGAUCCGGAGGAACACCAAUGGCGAAGGCAGCUCGCUGGGACGGUACUGACGCUGAGGCGCGAAAGCGUGGGGAGCAAACAGG